CAGCAGCCGCGGGAAUACGAAGGGGGCUAGCGUUGUUCGGAAUUACUGGGCGUAAAGGGCGCGUAGGCGGCCAUUCAAGUUAGAUGUGAAAGCCCUGGGCUCAACCUUGGAACUGCCUUCAAUACUGGCGAUCUUGAGUAUGAGAGAGGUGUGUGGAACUCCGAGUGUAGAGGUGAAAUUCGUAGAUAUUCGGAAGAACACCAGUGGCGAAGGCGACACACUGGCUCAUUACUGACGCUGAGGCUCGAAAGCGUGGGGAGCAAACAGGAUUAGAUACCCCUGUAGUCCCUGUCUCUUAUAC
rnacentral:rRNA from 1 species